CUCCCCCCUCUCUCUCUCCUCUCCCCCCUUUCCCCGCCGCUGCCGCCUCCGACACCGCACCGCCCGUCGCCGCUACCCUCGUCGAGCUAGAGCUGCCUCUGCGGGCUUCCCCUGUUGGUGCCCGACUCCCUCACCUUCCUCGCGUCCUCAGGGCCCGAGGGCGCGGCGCGGUGACUGCGGCCCGCGGUCCUAGCGCGCCCCCGCCGCAGCCGUCCCCUACCUCGCCGCCGGCAACGAGGUGCUGACAUUAUCAUCAUCACCGUCAUCGUGUCUUGGUGCGUCGACAUUGCCUCCGCCGGGAGCGACGCUGUCGUUGACUUGCUUCUUGACAGCUCAUGUGGGGGAUCACACGGGCAGCCUAGGCCCGCGUCUCUGGUGAUUGAUUCCUAGGUAGUGGCCACGGCCUCGUGUUGCCUGCUCCAAUUCGCCUUCUUGUACCAAUCCACGCAUAACAAGAACGUGAUGCCAGGUCCUAACGUUUCUUCUCUUGUUUGGAUUUGGCUAGUUGCCGUAAUUUAGUUUGGGGAAAACUUUGCAAUAGUCAAAUUCCACGGAAUUCUUGAUUAUGUGCUGCACUUGCCUCUUAUCAAGAUAAUUUCUAGCAGUGAAGCAUGAUUCUCUUAUGUCAUGUAGUAGUAUUUAGAUGUUAAGAUGCUGUGUGAAUAAAAGCUAGGACCCGAGCUUACAAGUGGAAAAAAAGAUCAUACUCAUGUUUUGCAGUACUAGGAUGUCAAUGUCAUGUCAUAGUAUGUGCUGAAUUUGAGCGUUCCUUGUUUUUAACCUUUUAUUGUUGAAUGGGUUAUAGAAUGGAACCUAUUUCAAUGGGUUUCUUUUUUAGUGCCGAAAUUUAUAUUGAUUCCACUUGAUUGAUUGGUAAAGCUUCUUGCUGGGAGUUCUUUUUUAGGAAUAUAGAGGAAAGGUAUAGACGGGUAGCCUGAUGGGAUUUCUUCCUUGGGAGUCAUAGGAACUGGUAGCAAAUGAGAGCUCAUCUAUUUGGAUGACCAGCCACCACCACAGCUUCUCUGCCACCUUUCAGGUAAACCCUGAUAUGGUUCCAGAGUAUAAAUCAAAUAUGGUACAAAGGCAUUUCAUCUCAGCUAGGAGACACAUCAUAAGGUUUAUUAUUAAAUUUGCUUCUUGCCAAUCUAUACUGUUGAUUGAACAUUGUGUCACAUGGAGAACCAAUCUAGACCAACCGAUCAAGAUUAUGCCCAAGGUUACAAGAUCAUGUUUACAGAUUGCUUCACGUUUCUGAUAGCCUCUCAGGACUCACUGGAUGCACUAAAUGAGAUUCUUAAAGAACAUGUACCAAUGAACCAUUUCAGACCAAAUAUUUUAGUGGAUGGAUGCCAACCAUAUUCGGAGGACCCAUGGAAAAUCAUAAAGAUAAACAACCUAAUAUUUUAAGGCGUGAAGCUAUGCAACCAUUGCAAGGUAAGAUACUGUCACUAAUACUCUCCUAGCUUUAAUUUGAAAUUGAUUAUGCAGUUUACUUCAGCACUUGAUUAGUGUAAUUAUUCAGUCAGUUUAUGUCUUUCAAGAGCCCAAUAUGCUAGACAUUGUUGUAAUGACUAAUGCACGAACAAAUGAGGUGAUGGUGACUGCCAAUAUUCAUUCGGUUCUUUUUAGAAAAUAUAUCAUUGCCACGUGUAAACAUUAACUUUAAAUAUAAAAUUCGUAUUCAUGAUUUUUUUUUUAAACAUGUGCGCGCUCUACGGUGACCGGUCCUACGUGCCGAGCCUCGUCCUCUCCAUGCGGUACCUGCACGGCACGCUCGCCGCAAUGGAGUUCCAGGGGAGCGUCAAGGUCUCCUCCGCGCAUGCCUCUUCCGUGCUUGCGAUGCCGCCGGCCCUCGGGGUGCCGUCGCCCUCAAGCUUGCCGCUCCUCGUCGCCGCAGCCCGCUUCCCGCUGAGUCUGCACAGCGUGUUGUUAGGCGACGACGCGGCGGGCUCCUCGUCCUCGCAGCUGCCCAUCCGGGCCUCCCCGGCCGUGGUUCACGUCGAACCCGCGUACGAAUGGCAUCUCGUUGCAGGGACACGCCGUCGCCGUCUCCCAGUUCCACAUCGGUAACCGGCUGCAUUGCCUGCCGCCGGCAUUGUAGCAGGUCAGCUCCACGCUGCCUUCCCUUAUCUUUCCUUGUGGAUUUUGCUCUCUAUAUUGCCAGGAUCUGGUGGGCUAAUAUUCGCUUCGUUAGGGAAUCAGUUAGCAACUGAAAAGGAGGAUCUUUUUCAGAUGUUUGGUAACUCCCACGGUCACUAUUUUGCUAAUGGUGCAUAAGUUCUUCAUAUGAGAGAGAGAAAUAAAGAGACGGUACAUAUUGACAGAAAUGCAGCUUCUAGGGCCUGUCGGAAGGGCAGGUAAUAUAUUGAGAAAUUGAAAACAAAAAGGAUGAACUGCUAUCAGGAAACUGGUAUGCACUAAUAAUUCUUAUGUUUCUCAUUGAUCGGGCUACCGUGCAUCAAGUUACUUCUAGCAGUUUUUGCUGACUGCAAAUGCAGACUAUUUGCACGAUCAGUUAAAUAUACGUUGAUGCAAACAUGACCAAAUUCAAGUGGCAGACAUGACCCUACCGGAUAAGGCCGGUGUAAUUCUGAUUGCUUAAUAUACUAUUAACACAACAAUUCCUUACCAUGCGUCACUACCCAAACAACAUUGUAAGACAAAACAGGCAUAACAACAUAAAAAAACAAUUACACUACCAACAUUUGCACUAAACUGACGUAAGCAUUUUUCAUUUUUUUUUAAAGGCAAUUUCCUCUUUAACACCGCAUUAAUGGUGCGCCCCAGACUCUAGUAUAAAUUAACUAUCAUACAACAAUUUGGAAUGACUACACACCUGGCUUCCGCGUCAAAACUUUAAGCCAAAAGUGUCACAAAGGGACGAUCAACUUUCAGAUUUCUUUUCAUCUGCAAAAUUACUUGAGGGGAAACCGAACAGCUAGCAUCUACUCCUGACGUGCUCAUUUUGUCAGUGCUCAUUUCUCGACCCCUAAGAGUAAAGCUAAUUUGGC